UUUUCUAUCUUGAUGUUUCUAUUUGUUUUGUAUCUUGAAUAUGUUUUUGUAAUCCAAAAAAGCCUUUCCAUGUGAAUGUGUAUCUAAUGUUUUUCCUUUCUUUGUCCUUAUGAAACCUUAGGGAGCAUAAUCCUUGAUCUGUGUGUUUGGAGUUGCUGAAGGUUUACUUCUUUGUGGCACAAAUAGAGGGGAAGGUUCAGCAAGGUGAUGGAGACAUUCAAUUACUUUGGCAUUGAGCUCAUGGAUACUAAUCUCACUACUACAUAAGGAGCAUUUAUGAUUACAGGCAAGCAGGAAGAAGAGGAGAUCCCUCCAUGAACAAAUUAUUUUUUCCUGCACAAAGGAACUACAACUAUUGAAUAGAAAUGCAAACUAGAGAGACAAUUCUCUGAACUAAUAAUGGCAAUUGAUGAGGAGCAAAAUGAAGUUAUCUCUUUGUGCGUCUAAUGAUUUGGCUUGACAAAAAGGUUAUCUUGAAGAAAAUUUAAAACUCACUAAUGAUUUGAAAGACGGGAUUGGUGGAGAACAAUCAAUACAAUAUCUGGUAAAAUUGGAAGUGAUUUCUUUGUCAGGAUUUCUUAAUUAGCUUCUAACAUUUUCAUAAGGUGUUAUUUUAUUUCACUUGACCGAUAUUGCAGCAGUCAUGUAAAUGGAAUA